rnacentral:rRNA from 1 species
GCCUACGGCCAUACUGAACUAAGUGCACCCAAUCCCAUCCAAUCUUGGGAGCUAAGUAGUCCUGGACCUGGCUAGUAUCUGUCACAAGUU